rnacentral:rRNA from 1 species
UACGGAGGGGGCGAGCGUUAUUCGGAAUUAUUGGGCGUAAAGGGCGCGUAGGCGGCCCGGUAAGUCAAAGGUGAAAUCCCUCGGCUCAACUGAGGAACUGCACGGGAAACUGCCUGGCUUGAGUUCGGGAGAGGGAAGCGGAAUUCCGGGUGUAGCGGUGAAAUGCGUAGAUAUCCGGAGGAACACCGGUGGCGAAGGCGGCUUCCUGGACCGACACUGACGCUGAGGCGCGAAAGCUAGGGGAGCAAACGGG